rnacentral:rRNA from 1 species
CAGAGACUAAGCGAAAGUGAUAAGUUAGCCACCUGGGGAGUACGUUCGCAAGAAUGAAACUCAAAGGAAUUGACGGGGGCCCGCACAAGCGGUGGAUUAUGUGGUUUAAUUCGAUGAUACGCGAGGAACCUUACCAAGGCUUAAAUGGGAAAUGACCGGUUUAGAAAUAGACCUUUCGCAAGACAUUUUUCAAGGUGCUGCAUGGUUGUCGUCAGCUCGUGCCGUGAGGUGUUAGGUUAAGUCCUGCAACGAGCGCAACCCCUGUCACUAGUUGCCAUCAUUCAGUUGGGGACUCUAGUGAGACUGCCUACGCAAGUAGAGAGGAAGGUGGGGAUGACGUCAAAUCAUCACGGCCCUUACGCCUUGGGCCACACACGUAAUACAAUGGCCGGUACAGAGGGCAGCUACACAGCGAUGUGAUGCAAAUCUCGAAAGCCGGUCUCAGUUCGGAUUGGAGUCUGCAACUCGACUCUA